CCUACGGGAGGCAGCAGUGAGGAAUAUUGGUCAAUGGACGAGAGUCUGAACCAGCCAAGUAGCGUGAAGGAUGACUGCCCUAUGGGUUGUAAACUUCUUUUAUAUGGGAAUAAAAUGUUCCACGUGUGGGCUUUUGUAUGUACCAUAUGAAUAAGGAUCGGCUAACUCCGUGCCAGCAGCCGCGGUAAUACGGAGGAUCCGAGCGUUAUCCGGAUUUAUUGGGUUUAAAGGGAGCGUAGGGGGAUUGUUAAGUCAGUUGUGAAAGUUUGCGGCUCAACCGUAAAAUUGCAGUUGAAACUGGCAGUCUUGAGUACAGGAGAGGUGGGCGGAAUUCGUGGUGUAGCGGUGAAAUGCUUAGAUAUCACGAAGAACUCCGAUUGCGAAGGCAGCUCACUGGACUGAAACUGACACUGAGGCUCGAAAGUGUGGGUAUCAAACAGGAUUAGAUACCCCAGUAGUC
rnacentral:rRNA from 1 species